UUUAUGGAGAGUUUGAUCCUGGCUCAGGAUGAACGCUGGCGGCGUGCCUAAUACAUGCAAGUCGAGCGAACAGAUAAGGAGCUUGCUCCUUUGACGUUAGCGGCGGACGGGUGAGUAACACGUGGGUAACCUACCUAUAAGACUGGAAUAACUCCGGGAAACCGGGGCUAAUGCCGGAUAACAUGUUGAACCGCAUGGUUCUACAGUGAAAGACGGUCUUGCUGUCACUUAUAGAUGGACCCGCGCCGUAUUAGCUAGUUGGUGGGGUAACGGCCUACCAAGGCGACGAUACGUAGCCGACCUGAGAGGGUGAUCGGCCACACUGGAACUGAGACACGGUCCAGACUCCUACGGGAGGCAGCAGUAGGGAAUCUUCCGCAAUGGGCGAAAGCCUGACGGAGCAACGCCGCGUGAGUGAUGAAGGUCUUCGGAUCGUAAAGCUCUGUUGUUAGGGAAGAACAAAUGUGUAAGUAACUGUGCACAUCUUGACGGUACCUAACCAGAAAGCCACGGCUAACUACGUGCCAGCAGCCGCGGUAAUACGUAGGUGGCAAGCGUUAUCCGGAAUUAUUGGGCGUAAAGCGCGCGUAGGCGGUUUUUUAAGUCUGAUGUGAAAGCCCACGGCUCAACCGUGGAGGGUCAUUGGAAACUGGAAAACUUGAGUGCAGAAGAGGAAAGUGGAAUUCCAUGUGUAGCGGUGAAAUGCGCAGAGAUAUGGAGGAACACCAGUGGCGAAGGCGGCUUUCUGGUCUGCAACUGACGCUGAUGUGCGAAAGCGUGGGGAUCAAACAGGAUUAGAUACCCUGGUAGUCCACGCCGUAAACGAUGAGUGCUAAGUGUUAGGGGGUUUCCGCCCCUUAGUGCUGCAGCUAACGCAUUAAGCACUCCGCCUGGGGAGUACGGUCGCAAGACUGAAACUCAAAGGAAUUGACGGGGACCCGCACAAGCGGUGGAGCAUGUGGUUUAAUUCGAAGCAACGCGAAGAACCUUACCAAAUCUUGACAUCCUUUGACCGCUCUAGAGAUAGAGUUUUCCUCUUCGGAGGACAAAGUGACAGGUGGUGCAUGGUUGUCGUCAGCUCGUGUCGUGAGAUGUUGGGUUAAGUCCCGCAACGAGCGCAACCCUUGAACUUAGUUGCCAUCAUUCAGUUGGGCACUCUAAGUUGACUGCCGGUGACAAACCGGAGGAAGGUGGGGAUGACGUCAAAUCAUCAUGCCCUUAUGAUUUGGGCUACACACGUGCUACAAUGGACAAUACAAAGGGCAGCGAAACCGCGAGGUCAAGCAAAUCCCAUAAAGUUGUUCUCAGUUCGGAUUGUAGUCUGCAACUCGACUACAUGAAGCUGGAAUCGCUAGUAAUCGUAGAUCAGCAUGCUACGGUGAAUACGUUCCCGGGUCUUGUACACACCGCCCGUCACACCACGAGAGUUUGUAACACCCGAAGCCGGUGGAGUAACCAUUUUGGAGCUAGCCGUCGAAGGUGGGACAAAUGAUUGGGGUGAAGUCGUAACAAGGUAGCCGUAUCGGAAGGUGCGGCUGGAUCACCUCCUUU
rnacentral:rRNA from 1 species